rnacentral:rRNA from 1 species
GACGAACGCUGGCGGCGUGCUUAACACAUGCAAGUCGAACGCUGAAGCUCAGCUUUGGUUGGGUGGAUGAGUGGCGAACGGGUGAGUAACACGUGAGUAACCUGCCCCCUUCUUUGGGAUAACGCCCGGAAACGGGUGCUAAUACUGGAUAUUCACUGGUCUUCGCAUGGGGGUUGGUGGAAAGGGUUUUUCUGGUGGGGGAUGGGCUCGCGGCCUAUCAGCUUGUUGGUGGGGUGAUGGCCUACCAAGGCUUUGACGGGUAGCCGGCCUGAGAGGGUGACCGGUCACAUUGGGACUGAGAUACGGCCCAGACUACUACGGGAGGCAGCAGUGGGGAAUAUUGCACAAUGGGCGCAAGCCUGAUGCAGCGACGCCGCGUGAGGGAUGGAGGCCUUCGGGUUGUGAACCUCUUUCGCUCAUGGUCAAGCCGCAACAAUGGUUGUGGUGAGGGUAGUGGGUAAAGAAGCGCCGGCUAACUACGUG